AAGCCAAUGAGGAUUUAUUAUUUAGUUGGAAUUACCGACUGAAUUUUUCAUAUUGAUGUCAACUUACUGGCUGUCUGAGGCUUCAU
rfam:Corchorus capsularis cultivar CVL-1 contig08240, whole genome shotgun sequence.